UACGUAGGGCGCAAGCGUUGUCCGGAAUUAUUGGGCGUAAAGAGCGUGUAGGCGGCCUGCAAGGUCAGCUGUGAAAACUCGAGGCUCAACCUCGAGACGUCGGUUGAAACCAUCUGGCUAGAGUCCGGAAGAGGAGUGUGGAAUUCCCGGUGUAGCGGUGAAAUGCGCAGAUAUCGGGAAGAACACCCGUGGCGAAGGCGGCACUCUGGGACGGUACUGACGCUGAGACGCGAAAGCGUGGGGAGCGAACAGG
rnacentral:rRNA from 1 species